AGCUAGGCAGCAGGGAUGCAAAUGAAGGCGCAGGAUUGCAUUUGGUCCCUCAAAACAAGCUGAUGCAAUUGAGCAUAUCAGCACUAAUGAACAUGGAGAUAAUAAGAGAACACCCAGAGAAAGAAGAGACUGGUGGGGAGGUGGGGGCUGCACCCACCAGGCAUCACAGAAUGGUUUAGGUUAGAAGGGACCUUAGAACUGAUCCAGUUUCAGUCCCCCACCAUGGGCAGUGACAUGAGGAAGAUAUAGCUACAGGUACCAUUUGUUUGGUGUCAAUGGAAGCAGGCUGCACCCUGAGGUGCUUCCCACAGUUUAACCCCCCAGCUUUGCACACCCAAGACCAGCCAUGUUGUUGUUCUGAUGAAGUCUUUCCCAGUCAGAGGAGCAGCUCCUGGCCCCCCUCCAGGCAAGCUGUGACAGGGAGAGCAAGAGGGAACCUGCGUGCAUCAAGAGGCCAGAUCUUACAGUGACCCGAUAAACAUGGGGCUGAGGCAUCAAAGAUCAAGCGGCAAGAGGUGCUUGAGGGCAUUUCAGUGGAAGGAGCAGUGACACACUCAGCAGGAAGGCUGCUUCAGUCAAGCCCAGCUUCUCUGAUGCUCGAAGUCCCCACAUCAUCUGCAAUUCAUACUUUGAAGCUUGCAGGCAGAGCUGCUACUUGGAAUGUUGUCUGCCAAGACAGCACUUGACACAAUGUGCCUCCAUGGACCAGGACUACAGGGCAGCAGUCCGGGUCAAACCCAUGUUUGCCAACCUCUCUGUCUCAAGAGGACACAAUGCACCUCUGUGGUAAGCUGAGACCCCUAUUCAAGCCCCUCUGCUCUUCAUCUCUAUCUGGAGUUCAGCAGCCUGCCAAGGGAUGCAGCACUGGCAACUGUUUCUGAUUUAUACUGAUGGAGAAUAACUUCCCUUUACAAAAGUAAAUAAAG